UGCAUCGGCCGGGAAUUGAACCCUGGCCGCCCGCUUGGCAGGCGAGCAUUCUACCACUGAACCACAGAUGC
rnacentral:tRNA from 1 species